AUUUACAAGGUGGAAGUAGCUGAAGGCAGUACAGGAGCUGAAAAGAGAUGCUGAUUUGGCAUGCAUACUCCUGGACAGGACAUUGUAGUUUGUAAAACUACACAAAGGAUAAAGAGUGCUAUAAAAGCGGGAGACAGGCAGGGAGACAGCACCAAAAACCUGCCUGUCUAUGUUGAAACAGCAGACCCAGGGAGGAGGAAGACAGAGUGAAGGUACACAGCAAACCUUUUACUUGUUUUCACCUACACACUUUUAUUGCCCUUGGGUCCAGUGGACACAAACACCACAUAUGUAAUAAACAUGUAUAGAGGGUACACAGUGUGCACUCAAUGAAAAUGUGUUAUUUUACAUGUUGUGAUGAGCCAAGGCCAAUGAGUCUCAGGUUGAAAAACAUUGAAAAUGGGUCCCACAGACGCGCACAUCACACAAGAAUUAACAUAGCAGUCAACCUAUUAUUACCUGUGGUCUCAAAUUAUUAAACAUGUCUGAACAAAGUGUAUUUUCGAUUUCUACUUCCAAUGGAG
rnacentral:lncRNA from 1 species